UCACUUUCAACAACGGAUCUCUUGGCUCUCGCAUCGAUGAAGAACGUAGCGAAGUGCGAUAAGUAAUGUGAAUUGCAAAAUUCCGUGAAUCAUCGAAUCUUUGAACGCAAAUUGCACUCUCUGGCAACCCGGGGAGUAUGCCUGUUUGAGGGUCAGU
rnacentral:rRNA from 1 species